AGUCGUCUAGAAAAAAAAAUUGUUUUAUUUUUCAAUUGUAAAACUAACGUGAGAUGACUUACAUAGAAGUCGUCCAGGAAAAAUAAAAUUUCUGACACAAUCCGGUCAAAUGCAAAACUAACUUGUUUACACUAGACGACUUACAUGGAAGUCAUCUCGAAUUUUUUUUAACAAACAAAGAUGUAAGUCGUCCAGGAAAAAUCAAAUUUCUGACACAAUCCGGUCAAAUGCAAAGCUAACCUUUUUACCCUAGACGACUUACAUGGAAGUCGUCUCGAACUUUUUUUAACAAACAAAGAUGGACGACUUCCAUUUAAGUCGUUUAGGUUAAAAAUCAAUUGCAAAAUUAAUCCAAAUGGACGACUUUCUAGAAGUCUACCAGACGACUUCCAUGGAAUUCGUCUGCGUCAAUGUUUAAUAAAAUUUCAUUUUCUCUAAAACUAUAAAGACUUUUUAAUAUUUUUUUGUUAAUUCAUGUAUAUUAGUCGAUAUUUGAGGUCCUGAAUAAAAUUCAAUAACUUAAUUGGUUUUAACUAUGAGUUUACUGACAUUCAUGUGUAUUAAAGAUUCCAGAAGACUUCCAUGUAAGUCUUCUACGUUAGUUUUUGUAAAUUUUUUAAGUAACUUUAAGAUAUGUUUAUUUAAUUUUCAAAAGUGUUAAGCAACUUCAAGAAUAUCAAGUAACAUGGUUUCAUAUGUCUUCUUAGAUCAUAAGAUAUAUUUUUUAAUUUUCAAAAAAUUUGAAAUUUCAAUUUUCACUUAAAAUUUAGAGUUUCCUGCUUAAAUUUUAAUUUUCCGCUUAAAUUUGCCG
rnacentral:lncRNA from 1 species